rnacentral:rRNA from 1 species
UACGUAGGGGGCGAGCGUUGUCCGGAUUCAUUGGGCGUAAAGAGCUCGUAGGCGGCUUGGCAAGUCGGGUGUGAAAACUCCAGGCUCAACCUGGAGACGCCACCCGAUACUGCCAUGGCUUGAGUCCGGUAGGGGACCACGGAAUUCCUGGUGUAGCGGUGAAAUGCGCAGAUAUCAGGAGGGACACCGGUGGCGAAGGCGGUGGUCUGGGCCGGUACUGACGCUGAGGAGCGAAAGCGUGGGGAGCAAACAGG